AUUGAACGCUGGCGGCAGGCCUAACACAUGCAAGUCGAGCGAGCGGCGGACGGGUGAGUGAUGUCUGUGAAACUGCCUGAUGGAGGGGGAUAACUACUGGAAACGGUGGCUCAUACCGCAUACCCUCAGAUAUGCCCAGAGGGGAUUAGCUAGUAGGUGGGGUAACGGCUCACCGAGACGACGAUCCCUAGCUGGUCUGAGAGGAUGACCAGCCACACUGGAACGGAGACACGGUCCAGACUCCUACGGGAGGCAGCAGUGGGGAAUAUUGCACAAUGGGCGCAAGCCUGAUGCAGCCAUGCCGCGUGUGUGAAGAAGGCCUUCGGGUUGUAAAGCACUUUCAGCGGGGAGGCGUUACCCGCAGAAGAAGCACCGGCUAACUCCGUGCCAGCAGCCGCGGUAAUAC
rnacentral:rRNA from 1 species